AUUGAACGCUGGCGGCAGGCCUAACACAUGCAAGUCGAACGAGUGGCGGACGGGUGAGUAAUGUCUGGGAAACUGCCUGAUGGAGGGGGAUAACUACUGGAAACGGUAGCUAAUACCGCAUACCAUCGGAUGUGCCGAGAUGGGAUUAGCUAGUAGGUGGGGUAACGGCUCACCUGGGCGACGAUCCCUCGCUGGUCUGAGAGGAUGACCAGCAACACUGGAACUGCGACACGGUCCAGACUCCGACGAGAGGCAGCAGUGGGGAAGAUUGCACAAUGGGCGCAAUCCUGAUGCAGCCAUGCCGCGUGUGUGAAGAAGGCCGUCGGGUUGUAAAGCACUUUCAGCGGGGAGGCGUUACCCGCAGAAGAAGCACCGGCUAACUCCGUGCCAGCAGCCGCGGUAAUUC
rnacentral:rRNA from 1 species